rnacentral:rRNA from 1 species
GUGUCGUGAGAUGUUGGGUUAAGUCCCGCAACGAGCGCAACCCUUGUCUUAUGUUGCCAGCAUUUUGGUUGGGGACUCAUGAGAGACUGCCGGGGUUAACUGGGAGGAAGGUGGGGAUGACGUCAAAUCAUCAUGCCCCUUAUGCCCAGGGCUUCACACAUGCUCCAAUGGUGGGUCCAAGGSGCAGCGACCCUGUGAGGUGGAGCGAAUCGCUGAAAGCCGGUCUUAGUUCGGAUUGGGGUCUGCAACUCGACCCCAUGAAGUCGGAGUCGCUAGUAAUCGUAGAUCAGCAAUGCUGCGGUGAAUACGUUCCCGGGCCUUGUACACACCGCCCUUCACAUCAUGAAAGUUGGUAACACCCGAAG